rnacentral:rRNA from 1 species
GAAAUGUUGACCUCGGAUCAGGUAGGAAUACCCGCUGAACUUAAGCAUAUCAA